rnacentral:rRNA from 1 species
UACAGAGGGUGCAAGCGUUAAUCGGAAUUACUGGGCGUAAAGCGCACGUAGGCGGAGCAUUAAGUCUGCUGUGAAAACCUUGGGCUUAACCUGAGAAGUGCAGUUGAUACUGAUGUUCUAGAGUAUGGUAGAGGAAAGUAGAAUUUCCGGUGUAGCAGUGAAAUGCGUAGAGAUCGGAAGGAAUACCAGUGGCGAAGGCGGCUUUCUGGACCAAUACUGACGCUGAGGUGCGAAAGCGUGGGGAGCAAACAGG